UACGAAGGGGGGCUAGCGUUUGUUCGGAAUUACUGGGCGUAAAGCGCACGUAGGCGGAUACUUAAGUCAGGGGUGAAAUCCCGGGGCUCAACCCCGGAACUGCCUUUGAUACUGGGUAUCUCGAGUCCGGAAGAGGUGAGUGGAAUUCCGAGUGUAGAGGUGAAAUUCGUAGAUAUUCGGAGGAACACCAGUGGCGAAGGCGGCUCACUGGUCCGGUACUGACGCUGAGGUGCGAAAGCGUGGGGGAGCAAACAGG
rnacentral:rRNA from 1 species